GAAAGUUUUGUUUCUUUAAUGCUGCUGCAAAGUUGGUGUUUUGUGUACACUUUGACAUUUCUCCUCUGUCCUUCUCCAGAAGGAGGGACAACCUCUUUGGACCGAUGGUUCAGUACAUAACCUGACAAACAAUGUGAUGUCAUUGCUGCCAGCCAAUCAGACAGACUGUUUUGCCCUGCAGAGGAAUGCCACAGGGCCUGGAUAUUUUCUUACCCCUUUCUUCUGCAACAUUGCCUUACCCUUCAUCUGCCAGUAUCAGGGUAAAUUUUAACUUUUAAUUAUCAUUAAUUAGUGUGUGCCUUUUAAAAUGUGUGUUUCACAAUCCUAUUACCAUCUGUGAUUUUGUCAAGCACAGGCAAAUGUGUUGAAAUCCUUUUUCUUAUGUUCUCACAAUGGUUUUCUUCCUUCACAGUCCCCCUUCUCCCUCCCUCAUUCUCUUUUGACCUGGUUCAGGUCGCGGAACAACAGGUAGAGCUUUGUUGGAGCGACCUCUUGGCCUUGAUCUCCCUCAAUAUUUCAUCUUUUGAAGUAUUCCUCCAGUAUCGGGAGGAGACAAAUGGCGAACUCUUUCGCGGUGAACGCAUAGAGGGGAGAUUAGCUUAUCGAACAGAAAGCCGGAGCGUUGCCAAGAAAGUUGUUGAGGUUCCCAUUUCGCUGUCCUCCAGAGGGGUAACUGUGGCAGGUUUGUCUCCAGGAAGCGUUUACUCCUUCACCCUUCGAGCUGCUCAUUCUGACGGGUCGAGCUGGACUUUGGGACAAACACAGACUGCAUACACCAGACCUCCUUCUCCUCAAAAUAUCACUGUCAGUGCUGUAACUACUGAUCAGAUCCAAGUCCACUGGACACUUCCAGUCGCUCUUUUUGAUGUUGGAUGGACAUUUCUUGUACGCUAUAUGGACAUGUCCAAUGACCAAAACAGGACUGUUGGAAUGUCUAAAAUCUCCAGGAUAUCUGAGACCAAUCCGCUGCGCUCAUACACUGCUGCGAUUGGCGGGCUGGAGUCUCACAGGAAGUACAGGAUUGAGGUCUCCACAGUCACCAAACAUGGGAUAGAGAGCUGUGAGCAGGCGGCUGUGGUUGUGCAGACUGGUAAGCAUGUGGCCCAGGAGGAACAACACGCUUCACUGUUAGUGACUCUUAUACACUGAUGCCUGAUAGUUAGAAUGAUGAA
rnacentral:lncRNA from 1 species